GACGAACGCUGGCGGCGUGCUUAACACAUGCAAGUCGAACGGAAAGGCCCUGCUUUUGUGGGGUGCUCGAGUGGCGAACGGGUGAGUAACACGUGAGUAACCUGCCCUUGACUUUGGGAUAAAUUCAGGAAACUGGGGCUAAUACCGGAUAGGAGCUCCUGCUGCAUGGUGGGGGUUGGAAAGUUUCGGCGGUUGGGGAUGGACUCGCGGCUUAUCAGCUUGUUGGUGGGGUAGUGGCUUACCAAGGCUUUGACGGGUAGCCGGCCUGAGAGGGUGACCGGCCACAUUGGGACUGAGAUACGGCCCAGACUCCUACGGGAGGCAGCAGUGGGGAAUAUUGCACAAUGGGCGGAAGCCUGAUGCAGCAACGCCGCGUGCGGGAUGACGGCCUUCGGGUUGUAAACCGCUUUCGCCUGUGACGAAGCGUGAGUGACGGUAAUGGGUAAAUAAGCACCGGCUAACUACGUG
rnacentral:rRNA from 1 species